rnacentral:rRNA from 1 species
AGUGAACGCUGGCGGUAGGCCUAACACAUGCAAGUCGAACGGCAGCACAGUAAGAGCUUGCUCUUACGGGUGGCGAGUGGCGGACGGGUGAGGAAUACAUCGGAAUCUACUUUUUCGUGGGGGAUAACGUAGGGAAACUUACGCUAAUACCGCAUACGACCUACGGGUGAAAGCAGGGGAUCUUCGGUCCUUGCGCGAUUGAAUUAGCCGAUGUCGGAUUAGCUAGUUGGCGGGGUAAAGGCCCACCAAGGCGACGAUCCGUAGCUGGUCUGAGAGGAUGAUCAGCCACACUGGAACUGAGACACGGUCCAGACGCCUACGGGAGGCAGCAGUGGGGAAUAUUGGACAAUGGGCGCGAGCCUGAUCCAGCCAUACCGCGUGGGUGAAGAAGGCCUUCGGGUUGUAAAGCCCUUUUGUUGGGAAAGAAAAGCAGCAGGUUAAUACCCCGCUGUUCUGACGGUACCCAAAGAAUAAGCACCGGCUAACUUCGUG